AAGGCUAAAUACUUUUUAUGACCGAUAGUGAACUAGUACCGUGAGGGAAAGGUGAAAAGUACCCCGUAGCGGGGAGUGAAAUAGUACCUGAAACCAUAUACUUACAAGGAGUCAGAGACGUUUGUCAUUUAUGAUAGACGUUCAUGGCGUGCCUUUUGAAGAAUGAGCCAACGAGUUAAUGCUUGUAGUUUGCCGAAGUACUUCUGGUACGAAGGCCAAGCGAAAGCGAGUAGUAAAUCUGCGUUUAUUGCAAGUAUUAGACCCGAAACCGGGUGAUCUAUCCAUGAUCAGGAUGAACCUUACCUAACAGUAAGGGGAGGUCCGAACCCACGUCAGUUACAAAUGGCGGGGAUGAAUUGUGGAUAGGGGAGAAAUUCCAAUCGAACCCGGAGAUAGCUGGUUCUCCUCGAAAUAUAUUUUGGUAUAGCCUCAUGCGCAACCCUGGGGGUAGAGCACUGAAUGGAACGUACAGGAGUAAUCCUGUGCUUCUUAUCAAACUUCGAAUACCAGGCGUUAGGCAUUGGGAGUCAGUCCGUGAGGGCUAAGCUUCAUUGGACAAAAGGGAAACAACCCAGACCGUCAUCUAAGGUCCCUAAAUUGUAGCUAAGUGGGAAAGGAAGUGUUUAAGCUCAGACAACUAGGAGGUUGGCUUAGAAGCAGCCAUCCUUUAAAGAAAGCGUAACAGCUCACUAGUCAAGGUUGAAUGCGCCGAAAAUUUAACGGGGCUAAAGCUACAUACCGAAGAUACGGGAAUCGUGCAUGGCAUAGAGUUUUUAAUAUUUUUAAAGACUGUGUGCUGUGUGCGGUUCGGUAGAGGAGCGUUCUAAAUGCGCUGAAGCCAAAGAUGUAAAUCAUGGUGGAGCGUUUAGAAGUGAGAAUGUUGGCACAAGUACACGAAUUAGGCAGACGAGAAAUCUGCCCACCAAAAAUCCAAGGUUUCCCGGGCAACGAUAAUCGGCCCGGGGUUAGUCGGUCCUAACCUAUUUUAAUGGGGAUGGCCAGCAGGUUGAUAUUCCUGCACUUUCAAAAACUUACCUUUAUCCGACUCUUUUUCAAGCUUGAUAGCUCAUAUGGUUAUGGUCUAUUGGGGGCGAAAGAGACAAGAAAAAGAUAAAGUCAAUUAUUUUUGGAAACCGUACCGCAAACCGACGCAGGUGGAUGGGGUGAGAAUCCUAAGGUGAUCGAGCGAACCCUCGUUAAGGAACUCGGCAAAAAAGCGUCCGUAACUUCGGGAUAAGGGCUGCCCACAACUCGCAAGAGUGGGUGGGCCGCAGCAAACGUUUUUCAGGCGACUGUUUACCAAAAACACAGGUCUCUGCAAACCCAUCGUGGGGAAGUAUAGGGGCUGACGCCUGUCCAGUGCUAGAAGGUUAUGGGAAUAGUUGAUUUUAUCUUCGGAUAAAUGAGGCUUGAACUUAAGCCCUAGUGAACGACAGCGAUAACUAUAAUCGUUCUAAGGUAGCGAAAUUCCUUGUCGGGUAAGUUCCGACCCGCAUCAAUGGCGUAACGGUCUGAAAACUGUCUCAACGAGGGCCUCGGUGAAAAUACACUACCGGUAAAGAUGCCGGUUACCCGCAGCUAGACGAAAAGACCCCGUGAAGCUUUACUAUGCCCUGAUAUUGAGUUUAUA
rnacentral:rRNA from 1 species